AAAUUGAAGGGUUUGAUCAUGGCUCAGAUUGAACGCUGGCGGCAGGCCUAACACAUGCAAGUCGAACGGUAACAGGAAGAAGCUUGCUUCUUUGCUGACGAGUGGCGGACGGGUGAGUAAUGUCUGGGAAACUGCCUGAUGGAGGGGGAUAACUACUGGAAACGGUAGCUAAUACCGCAUAA
rnacentral:rRNA from 1 species